AUCUCACCUUCAACUCCCACAUCUACAUGACUUGUGUCACUAGAGAUCAAGUUUAACUCAAAUCUCCUGGAUGCUAUCUCAUCCAUUUUGUUCUUAUGGCUUUAACUUUGUGAGCAGCCCUGACACGAAACUUAAAUUUGGAGAAUGAGGCUCGUACCUUGUAUUUGAUGCCUAUUUUGAUUCCUCUUUCGAUGUCUAUCUCUUUGUGUAGACUUCGUAGCAAAGCUUCAGUUGAGAUAUCGUCCAGCACAUUUUCUACCUUGAAUGAUGCAGAUCUAAGACACUGAAGCCAUAACUCUACAGCCUUUUCCUUGAUGUGUUUCUCUUCUGCAUCUUCAAGAACAGCUUGGAUCUGCUCGAAAUCUUCCUUGAGACGCAUAAUAUCACCCUUGAAUCCCCAAAGCAGAGCAAACUCUUUGAUAAGUUCAGAAGUCAGUCUCCCUAUCACAUCCUUCACAAG
rnacentral:lncRNA from 1 species